CCUCUGUGAUGUUCUGCAGCGUGCUGAGGAUGAUGUCUGCUGUCAGGAAGGACUCGGGCAGGGAGAUCCUCCUGCACAGGAGCAAGGCAGGGAAGAGAGGAAAGAAACCAUCAGUAAUCACAAAGGAGAACUGCAUCAUACCAAAUUCACAGCAGUGUAAGUGUGUCUGUGUUGGCUGACCUGUUGGCGCUGUCAUCCAGAGUCCUCUCCAGCCACUGCACUGAGGCAGUCUGCAGAGGGUCGUCCAUCAAUGCUAUCAGAUGUCGGGCCAAGCUACAGCAGCGUUCUGCACGCAUGGGGUUCCUCUUGUAGGGCAUAGCACUGGAACC